rnacentral:rRNA from 1 species
UACGAAGGGUGCAAACGUUGCUCGGAAUUAUUGGGCGUAAAGCGUGCGCAGGCGGUCUGCUAAGAGAGGUGUGAAAUCCCCGGGCUUAACCUGGGAACUGCGCUUCUAACUGGCAGGCUUGAGUGUGGCAGAGGGGGGUGGAAUUCCACGUGUAGCAGUGAAAUGCGUAGAGAUGGUGGAGGAACACCGAUGGCGAACGGCAGCCCCCUGGGCUAACACUGACGCCUCAUGCACGAAAGCGUGGGGAGCAAACAGGG